rnacentral:rRNA from 1 species
UACGUGAGGGGCGAACGUUGUUCGGGGUCACUGGGCUUAAAGGGCGCGUAGGUGGCUGCGUAAGGAAGGUGUGAAAGCCCUCGGCUUACCCGGGGAAUUGCGCCUUAUACUGCGUGGCUUGAGGAUCUCAGGGGAAGGGGGUACUCCGAGUGUAGCGGUGAAAUGCGCAGAUAUUCGGGGGAAGGCCGGUGGCGAAGGCGCCCUUCUGGGAGAUUCCUGACACUGAGGCGCGAAAGCGUGGGGAGCAAACAGG